UUCUUUGUUUUUUUCUUCUCAUCCUCUCUAUUUUCUCUUAUUUUCUCCGACCAUUGUAUCUUCUCCGGUGAAGGUUUUACUCUUUGAUUAGUGACAAAUUUAAACACAAACAAAUGAAUUCUCUCACAAAAAACCAUUUGGAUUUGGAGUGUGUAAAUGUGACGUCGAAAAUGUAGACAACAAUGACGUUGACGACAAUAGAGACGCUGUCGUAGACGUAUACGACAGCGACGAUGGAGACAUCGACCACAUCAAUCUAGACGACGAGCAACCCUCUAAUGAACCAAAGAAGACAACUUUUUUUUUUGUUUUUUCUCCUUCUGUUGACGAAAUAUAAUGGAUUAUCUCAAACAC
rnacentral:lncRNA from 1 species